UACGGGGGGGGCAAGCGUUGUUCGGAAUUACUGGGCGUAAAGGGCUCGUAGGCGGCCAACUAAGUCAGACGUGAAAUCCCUCGGCUUAACCGGGGAACUGCGUCUGAUACUGGAUGGCUUGAGAUUGGGAGAGGGAUGCGGAAUUCCAGGUGUAGCGGUGGAAUGCGCAGAUAUCAGGAGGAACACCAAUUGCGAAGGCAGCUCGCUGGGACGUUACUGACGCUGAGACGCGAAAGCGUGGGGAGCAAACAGG
rnacentral:rRNA from 1 species